UAGAUAGGCGUGGGCGAUCCUUUCAGCCUCGAAGUGGCCCAUACUCUUUCUUCAUGUAUGAGCGGCAUACGCACAGCCGGAGAUCUGGUUCUGCGGAUGC
rfam:Firmicutes bacterium ML8_F2 scaffold_21, whole genome shotgun sequence.